GACGAACGCUGGCGGCGUGCUUAACACAUGCAAGUCGAACGGAAAGGCCCUGCUUUUGUGGUGUGCUCGAGUGGCGAACGGGUGAGUAACACGUGGGUAACCUGCCCUUGACUUUGGGAUAACUUCAGGAAACUGGGGCUAAUACCGGAUAGGAGCUCCUGCUGCAUGGUGGGGGUUGGAAAGUUUCGGCGGUUGGGGAUGGACUCGCGGCUUAUCAGCUUGUUGGUGGGGUAGUGGCUUACCAAGGCUUUGACGGGUAGCCGGCCUGGGAGGGUGACCGGCCACAUUGGGACUGAGAUACGGCCCAGACUCCUACGGGAGGCAGCAGUGGGGAAUAUUGCAAAAUGGGCGGAAGCCUGAUGCAGCAACGCCGCGUGCGGGAUGACGGCCUUCGGGUUGUAAACCGCUUUCGCCUGUGACGAAGCGUGAGUGACGGUAAUGGGUAAAGAAGCACCGGCUAACUACGUG
rnacentral:rRNA from 1 species